UACGGAGGGUGCGAGCGUUGUCCGGAAUCAUUGGGCGUAAAAGGGCGCGUAGGUGGCGCGGUAAGCGUGCGGUGAAAGCCUGGGGCUCAACCCCGGGUCGGCCGUGCGAACUGCUGGGCUUGAGCACUGUAGAGGCAGGCGGAAUUCCGGGUGUAGCGGUGGAAUGCGUAGAGAUCCGGAAGAACACCGGUGGCGAAGGCGGCCUGCUGGGCAGUUGCUGACACUGAGGCGCGACAGCGUGGGGGAGCAAACAGG
rnacentral:rRNA from 1 species